GACAGCAGUAGCCGCGGGAAUACGAAGGGGGCUAGCGUUGCUCGGAAUGACUGGGCGUAAAGGGCGCGUAGGCGGCGAUCAAAGUCAGGCGUGAAAUUCCUGGGCUCAACCUGGGGGCUGCGCUUGAUACUUGGUUGCUUGAGUGGGGAAGAGGGUCGUGGAACUCCCAGUGUAGAGGUGAAAUUCGUAGAUAUUGGGAAGAACACCGGUGGCGAAGGCGGCGACCUGGUCCUUGACUGACGCUGAGGCGCGAAAGCGUGGGGAGCAAACAGGAUUAGAUACCCCUGUAGUCCCUGUCUCUUAUAC
rnacentral:rRNA from 1 species